rnacentral:tRNA from 1 species
GGAGGAGUGGCCGAGCGGUUUAUGGCGCACGCUUGGAAAGCGUGUAUGCGAAAGCAUGCGCAGGUUCGAAUCCUGUCUCCUCCG